GCACCCAGGGAUAUAAUAGCGGUUCACUUGGAAGCCCCCUUUUCUAUCCCUGGUACUGG
rnacentral:pre_miRNA from 1 species